rnacentral:rRNA from 1 species
UACAGAGGUCUCAAGCGUUGUUCGGAUUCAUUGGGCGUAAAGGGUGCGUAGGCGGCGCGGUAAGUCGGGUGUGAAAUCUUGGAGCUUAACUCCGAAACUGCAUUCGAUACUGCCGUGCUUGAGGACUGGAGAGGAGACUGGAAUUUACGGUGUAGCGGUGAAAUGCGUAGAGUAAUCGUAAGGAAGACCAGUGGCUGAAAG